UGUGUCUAACAGAAAGGAAGGGAUGCCUGCACCACCUUCUGCUUGUGGGAACCCAUGGAUCAUGCACACAAAACAACCAGCCAACAUCUGGCAUCUGGGGUGUUCAGUGCCUCCCAGUGGCCUGGACCAGUUCUCAUGCAGAGAAACACCCCAAGAAGGGAUCCUGGUGUUUACUCCACACAGAAUACAAAAGGAACCAGGCUCCCUGGAGUGGCGCAAUGGUCUGGCCCUAUAACAACUUCAGUCCUAAUCUUUAAAAAAAUGAAAAUUGUGUUUAUUUAUUUAUUUUUAUGUACUUGAAAGGCAGAGAGAGGCAGAGGGGGAAAGAGAAAGAGAGACCUUACAUCUGCCGAUUCACUCCCCAAAUGCCCACACCAGCAGGGGCUGGGACAGGCUAGAGCCUUCAGCCAGGAACUCCAGCCAGGUCUCCCACAUGGAUGGCAGAGCCCAGGAUGCAUUCACAGGGAACCACAUCAGAGUGAAGGAAGAGGAACUUGAACCAAGCACUCUGACGUGGAACGUGAGAGUCCCAAAGGGAAGCUUAACCCGCAGCACCCCAACAACCCCAGUCCUAAUUUUGGUAGCUUUUUUAUUUUAUUUUAUUUUUUUUUUGCAGUUACACUCUUUCUUCUUGCACCCACUUUAGUGGGUUCUCUCACCGCUUCCCUUCUAAGCUGAGCCUAUUCUAAACCACACCCUUUUCCUCCACUUACCUCCAAGUUGCACCCUCUGUGAGCUGUAGCAUCACGUUCAUGCCACCAAGGUUGAAAACACAACACAAUGUGCCAGACCCAAAAUGAGGACUUGGUGACUUUUUCUGUAGGUGAAUCCUACAACUUGAAAAUCAAGCAACAAAGACCAAAGACCAGAAACGUUCACUUAUCCUGAUGAUGUGAAUGCAUCAGCUCACAGAGCCAUAGGGAGCAUUCUAGUAUUCUAGAUCUACAUUUCAUUCUCUCUCAAGGGAGGAGUUUCCAAGCUUGUGGCUCAAAUUCAUGUCUUCCUCUUCAGAGCGGUGCACUCUAUUAAUCUCUCUGAACACCCCUCAUUAAUUGUGUUUCAUAUUUGGCUCCCAAGUUUCUCCUUCUGAUUCCCAUGCCCCUACAAACACCCUUGAAGGGACUAAUUUCCUCCCUCUCCCUCUCUCCAUCCUUACUUCAUUCCUCCCUUCCUCUUUCUCUUCCUUCUUCCUUCCUCCCUCCUUCUCUUCCUUAUACUUGCUGAUAACAUCAUUGCAUGUCCUCUGUCUGCCCACGAUUCCAUCUGUUGGUAAUCAUUCAAUUUCUUUACCAGAAAUAAGCUUCUUGGAGUCCACCUCCCUCCAACCCACCCACCCACACACACACCCACACACACACCCCACACACACAGCAGUAUCCAUUCUCAAUCCCAGUCCACUGCUGCCCAGUUUCCAUCCUCAAUUGUCCCUUGUUUCAGUUCUACCAGCACUAGCACAAGCCUAGACAGGGAGUUCAAUGGCAUAUCUGUUCAGAGAACAAAUAGAUGUUUCUUUAUAUUCUUGGUUUCUACUCCUCCACUCACUGCCAAUCUCUGGUUGCCUGACCUGUCCUAGAGUCUGUCCUGAGUUAUCCUUGGGAGAUGAGCUCCUAUACCACAAUAUCCCCUGCUCUGGCAUUUUCUGGCCUGAGACUUUUCCCACUUUAUCCAUCAGUGAUUCUUAAGCUGAUUUCCAUCUUUCUGCAAUGUAUUGAGAUCUGUCAACCACAAACCACAGCCUCCCACAUCUGCUGCUGCUUGGGCAUUCUAUUUCUAUUUUGAGUUUCUCCUGGCAGAGUUGGGAGUCAUAAGUUCAUUCAUUUGAGAGGGAGAACCAAGAAGGCAGCGGCAGGUGAUGGAUGCAGGUGGAUGAGUAUAACAGGUGGAGUCAUGUCCAUGUCAAUAAUUAGGACUCUUCUUGCUGGCCAUGUCUUGUCCCCAGCUGCCCCCUGGCUGAUUCCACAGUCACUUUGGAAGCAUAGCAGAUUGAACAUGAAGUGAGAAAAGGUUGUUGAAUUUCCCCUGUCACGACUGUUAUUAUUUGUUCCGUCUUCAGAGUUAGAAUUCCACUGAUAAUGGGAAACUGAUGAGUAAUAAACAUCAUGCCUGCCUCUUGGAAGUACUGUAA
ensembl:lncRNA